UGUAGACCUUACAGUGAAAUGCUGAAUACAACAGGUGUAGGUAGACCUUACAGUGAAAUGCUGAAUACAACAGGUGUAGUAGACCUUACAGUGAAAUGCCGAAUACAACAGGUGUAGGUAGACCUUACAGUGACAUGCCGAAUACAACAGGUUUAGGUAGACCUUACAGUGAAAUGCUGAAUACAACAGGUUUAGGUAGACCUCACAGUGACAUGCCGAAUACAACAGGUGUAGUAGACCUCACAGUGAAAUGCUGAAUACAACAGGUGUACUAGACCUUGCAGUGACAUGCUGAAUACAACAGGUGUAGUAGACCUUACAGUGAAAUGCUGAAUACAACAGGUUUAGGUAGACCUUACAGUGAAAUGCUGAAUACAACAGGUGUAGUAGACCUUACAGUGAAAUGCUGAAUACAACAGGUGUAGUAG